GACGAACGCUGGCGGCGCGCCUAACACAUGCAAGUCGAACGGAGUCAAGAGGAGCUUGCUUUUCUUGACUUAGUGGCGAACGGGUGAGUAACGCGUGAGUAACCUGCCCUGGAGUGGGGGACAACAGUUGGAAACGACUGCUAAUACCGCAUAAGCCCACGGAUCUGCAUGGAUCUGCGGGAAAAGGAUUUAUUCGCUCUAGGAUGGACUCGCGUCCAAUUAGCUAGUUGGUGAGGUAACGGCCCACCAAGGCGACGAUUGGUAGCCGGACUGAGAGGUUGAACGGCCACAGUGGGACUGAGACACGGCCCAGACUCCUACGGGAGGCAGCAGUGGGGGAUAUUGCACAAUGGGGGAAACCCUGAUGCAGCGACGCCGCGUGGAGGAAGAAGGUUUUCGGAUUGUAAACUCCUGUCGUUAGGGACGAUAAUGACAGUACCUAACAAGAAAGCACCGGCUAACUACGUG
rnacentral:rRNA from 1 species